rnacentral:rRNA from 1 species
UACGGGGGGGGGCAAGCGUUGUUCGGAAUUACUGGGCGUAAAGGGCGCGUAGGCGGUUCGAUAAGUCAGCUGUGAAAACCAUGGGCUUAACUCAUGGCCUGCAGUUGAGACUGUCGGGCUGGAGUGUGGGAGAGGAGAGUGGAAUUCCUGGUGUAGCGGUGAAAUGCGUAGAUAUCAGGAGGAACACCAGCGGCGAAGGCGGCGCUCUGGGCCGGAACUGACGCUGAGGAGCGAAAGCGUGGGUAGCAAACAGG